UCCGGGUUGGACCCGGCGGUCCCCCUAGAGUGCCCGGCUUAACCCGCUGAUAACUAGGGACGAGGGUUGCGCUCGUUGCGGGACUUAACCCAACAUCUCACGACACGAGCUGACGACAGCCAUGCACCACCUGUGAUCCUGCCCCGAAGGGAAGCCGUGUUUCCACGGCGGUCAGGAACAUGUCAAACCCAGGUAAGGUUCUUCGCGUUGCGUCGAAUUAAACCACAUGCUCCGCUGCUUGUGCGGGUCCCCGUCAAUUCCUUUGAGUUUUAGCCUUGCGGCCGUACUCCCCAGGCGGGGCACUUACUGCGUUAGCGACGGCACCGGGAGGGUCGCUCCCCCCGACGCCUAGUGCCCAUCGUUUACGGCGUGGACUAC
rnacentral:misc_RNA from 1 species